AGUGAACGCUGGUGGUAGGCCUAACACAUGCAAGUCGAACGGCAGCACAGGAGAGCUUGCUCUCUGGGUGGCGAGUGGCGGACGGGUGAGGAAUACAUCGGAAUCUACUUUUUCGUGGGGGAUAACGUAGGGAAACUUACGCUAAUACCGCAUACGACCUACGGGUGAAAGCAGGGGACCUUCGGGCCUUGCGCGAUUGAAUGAGCCGAUGUCGGAUUAGCUAGUUGGCGGGGUAAAGGCCCACCAAGGCGACGAUCCGUAGCUGGUCUGAGAGGAUGAUCAGCCACACUGGAACUGAGACACGGUCCAGACUCCUACGGGAGGCAGCAGUGGGGAAUAUUGGACAAUGGGCGCAAGCCUGAUCCAGCCAUACCGCGUGGGUGAAGAAGGCCUUCGGGUUGUAAAGCCCUUUUGUUGGGAAAGAAAUCCAGCCGGUUAAUACCUGGUUGGGAUGACGGUACCCAAAGAAUAAGCACCGGCUAACUUCGUGCCAGCCGCCGCAGUAAAAC
rnacentral:rRNA from 1 species